rnacentral:tRNA from 1 species
GCCCACGGGGUGUUAUACAUAUUAGAUUGCAAAUCUUAAGUAGCAGGGUUUCGCCUGCCGGGGCUU